GUGUGUUUGUGUGUCCAAACACCCAACUCCUCCAUAGAAUCAGUCUACAGAAAAUUGAAUUGAACUUCGCCCAAAUUCCGAAAUCGACACGCAACACACGCUCAACUGUGCGAGAGAGAAAGAGAGCGAAAAUCGACUCGGCGAUGAGUUAUUAUCGGGCGCCAUUCUCAGAGUCGAAGAACCCAGAUUCCCGACUAAUUACAUCACCACUCUUAGUGUUAUUUAUUUGAUGAAAUGGAUGAUAAAGUGGUUGAGGUAGAUAUGGAAAAAAGGCAGAGAAACGGGAAAUCACAAACCGAAAACAACGAGGAUGUAGCCGAAAAUUUAAGUGGAAAUUCAACCAAUCAAGCCGAAGACGAGAAUAAGAACAAACCAUAUAUAGGUAUGGAAUUCGAUUCUCAAGAAUCCGCAAAGGACUUGUACGAUACAUACGCAAGAAGAGUCGGUUUCACCACGCACGUGGGCCAAUACAUUCGUAGCAAUCCAGAUGGUCCAAUUGUCUCGUUGGAAUUCUUCUGUUCAAGAGAGGUUUACAAACGGAAAAAUAUCGAGAGCUGCAAUGCAAUGCUUCGAAUCGAGAGUAAAGAUUCCGAAAAUUGGGUUGUCACCAAAUUCGUCGAGGAUCACAAUCACUCUCUCGUGGGCCCCAGCAAGGUCCAUUUCCUCAGGCCCCGCCGCCACUUUGCCGGAGCUGCUGCAAAGAAAGCCCCCGCGCUAACUGAGGUAGCCGAUAAUAACCAAAACGACAUCAUGGUUUCUGUCGAUGGAAACCAUGUUUUUGUUGAUCCAAAUGAAAAUGCUCCUUCAAUGCCGUUGCAUUUUAUUCAGCCUUGUAGCAGAAGAAGAACUCUCGGUAGAGACGCGCAUAAUCUCCUCACCUAUUUCAAGAAAAUGCAGUCCGAAAACCCUGGUUUCUAUUACGCAAUACAGCUGGACGAAGAGAAUCGGUUGAGCAAUGUUUUCUGGGCUGAUGCGAGAUCGAGAACAGCUUACAACCACUUUGGUGACGCAGUUGUUUUCGAUACUAUGUACAGGCCUAACCAGUUUCAGGUACCGUUUGCGCCCUUCACAGGAGUGAACAAUCACGGGCAAAUGGUCUUGUUCGGAUGUGCGCUGCUAUUGGACGAAUCAGAAUCUUCUUUCGCUUGGGUUUUCGAGACUUGGCUCUCUGCAAUGAACAAUCGUCGCCCAGUGUCGAUAACCACCGACCAAGAUAGAGCCAUUAAAGCGGCGGUUAAUCGGGUUUUUCCGCAAACCCGUCACUGCAUUUGCAAGUGGCAUAUAUUACGAGAAGGCCAAGAAAGAUUGGCACAUGUGUAUCUCUCUCAUCCUUCCUUUCAUGGAGAGCUUUACAGCUGCAUCAACUUUUCUGAGACAAUCGAGGAUUUCGAAUCGGCGUGGAGCUUGAUUCUUGAUAGAUAUGAUAUCGGAAAAAACGAGUGGCUUCACGCUGUGUAUAACGCUAGGAAGCAAUGGGCGCCCGUUUAUUUUCGUGACACGUUUUUCGCUGCGCUCUCUUCGAACCACGGAGUGAGUUCCUUCUUCGAAGGGUACGUGAAUCAGCAGACAACAAUACCCAUGUUCUUCAAACAGUACGAACGUGCUUUGGAGAAUUCUUUAGAAAGGGAAAUCGAAGCAGAUUACUACACAAACUGUACAUCGCCGGUACUAAAAACACCGUCUCCAAUGGAACAACAGGCGGCUAAUCUAUACACGAAAAAGGUGUUCGAGAAGUUUCAAGAAGAACUCGUCGAGACUUUUGUGCACACAGCCAAUAAGAUCGACGGUGAUGGUUCGGUCAGUAAAUUUAGGGUUGCGAAAUACGAGCAAGAUCACAAAGCGUACAUAGUAAUGUUAGACGUUUCCGAAAUGAACGCGAGUUGCAGCUGUCAAAUGUUUGAGUAUUCGGGAGUUUUGUGCAGACACAUAUUGACUGUUUUUACUGUAACAAAUGUUCUAACGGUUCCCUCACAUUAUAUACUAAAGAGGUGGACGAAGAAUGCUAGAUCCGCCAGCCUGGUGGACGAGCAAUACACGGGGGUUCAGUGUAUGGAGUCUCUCUCUGUUCGUUUCAACAGUCUUUGUCGAGAAGCACUUAAGUUCGCCGAGGAGGGAGCUGUUUGUACGGAUACUUACAGUGCAGCUAUGGAGGCUUUAAAAGACGGUGAGAAGAAGAUUGCACAAGUGAAAAGAAGUGUCGGAAAAAAUAAACAGGAUAAUGGUAGCAAAAAACCCUCUACACCAACUCCUGAUAAGAUACCGUCUUUAUGGCCGUGGCAAGAUUCUGUGCCUAGUCGAUUUAAUCUGAACGACAGUGGGGCCCACAUUGCUGAUUUGAGUCAGCCAACUAUGGCGCCGAUAGCUAUAAACCGUGAUGGCACACUUGCUGAUAAUACGGUUGUUCUCACUUGUUUUAAGUCGAUGACGUGGAUCCUAGAGAAUAAAAACCCGACAAGUAAAGUAGCUCUAAUUAAUUUGAAGGCAGCUCCAAGAUUAUGGGAGAGCUACUUCAGGAGAAACGGAGGUGCAGUUUAGACUAACGAGAGCCACUUUGGAGCCGAUGUUGAAAUCCAUGGCUUACAUAAGUCAACAGCUUUCAACUCCGGCUAACAAAGUUGCAGUUAUCAAUCUAAAGCUCCAUGAUGCAUCAACAACUGGAGAAACGGAGGUGAAAUUUCAAGUCUCGAAAGAAACUUUAGGUUCGAUGUUAAGAUCGAUGGCUUAUAUCAGGGAGCAACUAUGACAUCGAGCAAGAAGAUCUCAGACGAGAAAUUGUCCGAGUUAGACCGUAAUUUUUGUACACGUAGCAGGCGUUCAUUCAUCUUGUGUACUACUUACCACAGUUCUUCUCUCUAACGGUAAGCUGUAGAUUCAUUUAUUCAGUUAAACCGAAAAUUUUAAGACAUAGAUGUAAAUUCGAGUUGUGAAAAAAUAAUACGAAAUAAUGAUUAGUGUAUGUGAUCGAUUCAUUGUAGAAGUUAGGUUAGCUUAUUUCACUUGUUCGGCUCGUUUGUUCUGUAGAUAUUAGUUGAGGCCAUUCUUAAAUUUGACGAAAGCUUCAAAUUCCAA